rnacentral:rRNA from 1 species
CCUACGGGUGGCAGCAGUCGAGAAUCAUUCACAAUGGGGGAAACCCUGAUCGUGCGACGCCGCGUGGGGGAAUGAAGGUCUUCGGAUUGUAAACCCCUGUCAUGUGGGAGCAAAUUAAAAAGAUAGUACCCCAAGAGGAAGAGACGGCUAACUCUGUGCCAGAAGCCGCGGUAAUACAGAGGUCUCAAGCGUUGUUCGGAAUCACUGGGCGUAAAGCGUGCGUAGGCUGUUUCGUAAGUCGUGUGUGAAAGGCGCGGGCUCAACCCGCGGACGGCACAUGAUACUGCGAGACUAGAGUAAUGGAGGGGGAAGCGGAAUGCGCGGUGUAGCAGUGAAAUGCGUAGAUAUCGAGAGGAACACUCGUGGCGAAGGCGGGUUCCUGGACAUUAACUGACGCUGAGGCACGAAGGCCAGGGGAGCGAAAGGGAUUAGAUACCCGUGUAGUC